rnacentral:rRNA from 1 species
AGUGAACGCUGGCGGUAGGCCUAACACAUGCAAGUCGAACGGCAGCACAGUAAGAGCUUGCUCUUACGGGUGGCGAGUGGCGGACGGGUGAGGAAUACAUCGGAAUCUACUUUUUCGUGGGGGAUAACGUAGGGAAACUUACGCUAAUACCGCAUACAACCUACGGGUGAAAGCAGGGGAUCUUCGGACCUUGCGCGAUUGAAUGAGCCGAUGUCGGAUUAGCUAGUUGGCGGGGUAAAGGCCCACCAAGGCGACGAUCCGUAGCUGGUCUGAGAGGAUGAUCAGCCACACUGGAACUGAGACACGGUCCAGACUCCUAUGGGAGGCAGCAGUGGGGAAUAUUGGACAAUGGGCGCAAGCCUGAUCCAGCCAUACCGCGUGGGUGAAGAAGGCCUUCGGGUUGUAAAGCCCUUUUGUUGGGAAAGAAAAGCAGCAGGUUAAUACCCCGCUGUUCUGACGGUACCCAAAGAAUAAGCACCGGCUAACUUCGUG